GAAGAGGGCCAGGCACCACGUGCCUGCACUCUCCCUGGAUGCUGGAGGCUGCUCCGCCGUGGGCAGGAGGAGAAGGAAGAGAACUGGGUGCCGCCUGCCUGCACUCUCUCCGGAUGCUGGAGGCUGGAGGCAGUGAGGCAGCAACAGCGCGAGGGCGAGGCGACUUUGGAGCUGCCUCAUGCAGCGACCUCGCCUUCCGCUGCGCCUCCUCCCAGAACCCAAGAAGCCUGGAACCUGUGGCGUCCAGCCCUGAAAGGAGGAGACGGCAACCCAGCCGCGCUUUUGCCUGCACUCUCCCUGGAUGCUGGAGGCUGGAGGCAGUGACGCAGCAACAGCGCGAGGCGACUUUGGAGCGGCCUCAUAUAGCGACCUCGCCUUCCGCUGCGCGUCCUCCCAGAGCCCAAGAAGCCCGGAACCUGUGGCAUCCAUCUCUGAAAGGAGAAGACGGCAACCCAGCCGAGGCACUACUGGGUUGGGGUCUCCACGACCGAGCUGGUCUCAUCAAGUGGCGUCCAACAAGGGGCUCAAACCCGGGUUGAGGGGUUGCUGGAGCGACGGAGAACGUGGAACUACACUGGAGGACACCAGAGUACUCUUAAGCAAUC
rnacentral:lncRNA from 1 species